UUAGGCAAAUCAGAUUUUCGGAAUCCAUCAAUUCUCACAGUUACUUUAUGUAUCCCUUUGUCAUAAUCAACAGAAGCUUUCUUCUUCUCCUCAUAAGCAUCCUUGUUGUCAUUCUUGGGUUUCUGCUGCUUUUGGGAGACUAUAAUAGAUGCUCUGAAAUGGGUUUUGAAUUUGGGAUUUGGGUGUUGAGGGAAUGUGGAG
rnacentral:misc_RNA from 1 species